UACAGGGGGUGCAAACGUUGCUCGGAAUUAUUGGGCGUAAAGCGCGCGUAGGCGGCUACUUAAGUCGGAUGUGAAAGCCCUUGGCUCAACUGAGGAAGUGCACCCGAAACUGAGUGGCUUGAGUACUAAAGAGGGUCGCGGAAUUCCCGGUGUAGAGGUGAAAUUCGUAGAUAUCCGGAGGAACACCGGUGGCGAAGGCGGCUUCCUGGACCGACACUGACGCUGAGGCGCGAAAGCUAGGGGAGCAAACGGG
rnacentral:rRNA from 1 species